rnacentral:lncRNA from 1 species
AUGAUGCUAUAUGUGUGUUCAUUAGACCUCUUAGUGUCUGUAAUAUUUUAUGAGUGUUAUGCCUCCAGGUUCUCAAGGAGAAGUGAUAAAGUCAUAAAAAUUCUGAUAUUUGCUUCCUUCUUCUCACCUUUCAUCUUCUAUUUAAAUGAAGUUAUACUAAUGCUGUCAAUUAUCCAGGCAUCGUUUGGUUUUUGGAAGAUGGUACUUUCUCUACCUACUGUUCAGGGCUGCCGACACAAACACUUCCCACAGGCAGACACCUUGACUCUUCCUUAAAAAAGGAAAUAAAGAUAGCCCCACAGAUCCAUCAUCUUCAGGUUCUCUACAUACGCAGGUAACAAUGAAUAAAAAAAGGGGCUGAGGGAAAGCA